rnacentral:rRNA from 1 species
AGAGUUUGAUCCUGGCUCAGAUUGAACGCUGGCGGAAUGCUUUACACAUGCAAGUCGAGCGGCAGCGCGGGGCAACCUGGCGGCGAGCGGCGAACGGGUGAGUAAUACAUCGGAACGUGCCCAGACGUGGGGGAUAACUACUCGAAAGAGUGGCUAAUACCGCAUACGAUCUACGGAUGAAAGCGGGGGAUCGCUAGACCUCGCGCGUCUGGAGCGGCUGAUGGCAGAUUAGGUAGUUGGUGGGAUAAAAGCCUACCAAGCCAACGAUCUGUAGCUGGUCUGAGAGGAUGAUCAGCCACACUGGGACUGAGACACGGCCCAGACUCCUACGGGAGGCAGCAGUGGGGAAUUUUGGACAAUGGGCGAAAGCCUGAUCCAGCCAUUCCGCGUGCAGGAUGAAGGCCCUCGGGUUGUAAACUGCUUUUGUACAGAACGAAAAAGCUCUGGCUAAUACCUGGAGUCCAUGACGGUACUGUAAGAAUAAGCACCGGCUAACUACGUGCCAGCAGCCCGCGGUAAUACGUAGGGUGCAAGCGUUAAUCGGAAUUACUGGGCGUAAAGCGUGCGCAGGCGGUUUUGUAAGACAGAGGUGAAAUCCCCGGGCUCAACCUGGGAACUGCCUUUGUGACUGCAAGGCUGGAGUGCGGCAGA